GGUCUGGUGGUGUAGUUGGUUAUCACGUCAGUCUAACAUGCCAAGUUUCUCUCACAUGAUUGAGAAGUUGCGCGUCUUUCACUGAAGGUCUCCGGUUCAAGUCCGGGCUAGAUCA
rfam:Colletotrichum gloeosporioides Nara gc5 unplaced genomic scaffold scaffold284, whole genome shotgun sequence.